rnacentral:sRNA from 1 species
AUGUACCACUCGUACACUCCGGUUCCUGUGCGCCGUCCGCACCCACCUGACGACUGCUCGGUGUCGUCC